GACGAAGGGGGCUAGCGUUGUUCGGAAUUACUGGGCGUAAAGAGUGCGUAGGCGGUUCUCCAAGUCCGUUGUGAAAGCCCCGGGCUCAACCUGGGAAUGGCAGUGGAAACUAGGGGACUUGAAUCUGGCAGAGGGGGGUGGAAUUCCACGUGUAGCAGUGAAAUGCGUAGAGAUGUGGAGGAACACCGAUGGCGAAGGCAGCCCCCUGGGCUGAGAUUGACGCUCAGGCACGAAAGCGUGGGGAGCAAACAGG
rnacentral:rRNA from 1 species